rnacentral:rRNA from 1 species
AGAUUGAACGCUGGCGGCAUGCUUUACACAUGCAAGUCGAACGGUAACAGGCCGCAAGGUGCUGACGAGUGGCGAACGGGUGAGUAAUGCAUCGGAACGUGCCCAGUCGUGGGGGAUAACGCAGCGAAAGCUGUGCUAAUACCGCAUACGAUCUAUGGAUAGAAAGCGGGGGACCGAAAGGCCUCGCGCGAUUGGAGCGGCCGAUGUCAGAUUAGCUAGGUU